GACAUUUUUAGACUCUGUCUUAAUGUUAAAAAAAAAAAAAAGACCAGAAUGGAUUACUGACAAGCAUAGGGGGAUGUGAGAAGCCUGUGUAAGGGUCUUGCACAAUGCAGGCAGGAGACAGUGGAUUGCAGUUAGGUGUCCAAGCAGAAAUGAACAUGAACCAGCUGAAGCAAAGUACACCCACAGACGUAUCUGGGUAUCAGGAUCCAUGGCACUUACUGACUCUGCCUGAAAAGUGAUGCAGAGGUUUGAGCAUGCUGAUGGGGAGAGUAAACAGUUGCAUCCUGAAAAAAGAUGGAGUGGGUUAAUGCCUGUGAACUAGGAGUUCAGCUGUGAGGCUGGUUCUCUGAAGUCUGGGUUGAAGGGGAACAGUAGGAACUUGCCUGUCUGUAGGUGAUAAUCGCAGAUCUGAGGUGGGGAGGGCGUGAACGCUGAGAACAGGAGGAGCCUGAGGGUGAAGGAAGGGGUCAGGAGUCAGGUUUAUGAGCUCUGAAAAGAAGUGCGUGACCAUCUCAUGUCCGUGGGAACCAAGUCAAACCUGGAGACCCAGGUACGCUCCAGACUGGUGUCUGACCAGAUCAGCUGGAAUCCUUUGAAGGAUGUUUAUGCUUCUUUAUGGAUAUCAAUGUAAUAAUGAUGCUUAGAAAUGGGUACCACAAAGUCCCAGCAGAAUUAUAGUGCGUGACAGAGAAAACAACAAUUCCAAAUGGCCUGGACUUUAUCCCUCUUUCCCUCUGUAACUAGGUAAUGUUAUUAGGUGAAAUUGUUAGAUCAGUCUCCAUGAUAGAAAGUAGGAGGCCAUACAGCCCUCUCAAAUCUGAUAGACCGUCCGGGUUAAUGGUGGAAGUUCCUUGCCGGUGUUAGGAAUUAGCGCGGUGGACACGUGGUCCUGCCCACAUGUAAGAGGAUGGAUUGGAAAAACUCCCACAGUUCCUUCCAAGCCCAGGACCUUAGGAUUUUAGGUCGGCAUAGUGUCGAUACUAAAGUAGGUCAGGUAAGAGCAACCACAGCACUAUUGUGGCUUCUGAUGGAGUGAAGGUGGGGGUAUUGAGAGAUUUCAUUCUGGAACUGUUAUUGUCCUGGGUAACUUAGAGUAUCAGAUUUUCUAAGGUGUCACUGGAAUGUGCAAAAGUCAAGAAGGAUUGGGUUAAUCUACCAAGUGACUGGGAGUAUUGUGUGUGUGUGUGUGUGUGUAUAAAAUGGGGAAUACUAUAUAUAGAUAUAUGUAUAGAUAUAUAUACAUGUAUAUCUAUACAUAUAUAUACAUGUAUAUAUGCAUGUAGAUAUAUAUAUUUUAUGUAUAUUUAACUAUACUGAGUAUAUAUAUGGAUAUAUAUAUAUAUAUAUACACACACACACACACACACAUAUAGUAUAAAUAUUUGGAAUUCCAUCUAUUGCUUUGGAAAUAUAGUAUACAUAUUGUGUAUAUAUAUUGGGAUUACUGUCUCUUGCCCUGGGAAUAUAGUAUAUAUAGUGUAUAUAAAUAUUUGGAAUUCCAUCUAUUGCAUUGGAAAUACAGUAUAUAUAUAUAGCAUACAUAUUAAGAAUAAUUAUUGCAUUGGAAAUACAGUGUGUAUAUAUAUGUAAAUAUAGUAUUAUAUAAAUAUAUGGUAUUAUGUAUGGGAAUUCCAUCUAUUGCAUUGGAAAUACAGUGUGUGUGUGUGUGUGUAGUAUAAAUAUUUGGAACUCCACCUACUGCGUUGGAAAUACAGUAUAUAUAUUGUGUAUAUAUGUUUGGAGUACCAUCUAUUGCAUUGAGAAACAAUGUAUAUAUAUAUAGUAUAUUUACGUAUACAAUAGUCCCCCCCUUGUCCGUGGGAAAUUAUGUUUCAAGAGCUAUGAAACCGUGGAUAGUACCAAACCCCAUAUGCAUUCUGUUUUUUUCUGUAUGUACGUACUUAGGACAAAGUUUGAUUUAUAAACUAGGCAAAGUAAGAGAAUAUCUGAAUUGCCAGCAUCCCCACUCUUGUGCUUGGGACCGUUACUAAGUACAGUAAGAUGACUUGGGCAAAAGCGCUGGAAUGCAGUGACCCUUGAUCUGAUAACUAAGCUGGUUGCUGAGUGACCACUAGGCAGGACCAAGGGACGAUUCACACGGGUAAGGGGGGACCACUGUAGUGAGAAAAGAUACGAAUGUAUGCUAGUAAUUUUCAGCAUAUGUCCCAUUAAGAAUUAAGUUUUAUGGAAAUCAAAUACAAUCUUCAGUUUUAUUCUGAACUGCUUUCGAGGCCAUUUCUAGGAUAAUCAUGUAAAAGAGCCCAUUUCAAUUCCAAUCCAUGGGAUCCUGCUGUGUAGCCCUGGGAAUUAUGUCUGGUCACUCGUGAUGGAGCAUGAUAAUGUGAGAAAAAAGAACGUAUAGAUAUAUGUGUGACUGGGUCACCUUGCUGUGCAGCAGAAAAUGGACAGAACACUGUCAACCAGCUAUGAU
rnacentral:lncRNA from 1 species